rnacentral:rRNA from 2 species
GGGAGGUGAUCCAGCCGCAUUGAUUGGUGCUAGCAUAGUGAUUUACAUUUGAGUGAGUGGCGAACUGGGAGUAACACGUGGGAUACCUGCCCAGAAGCGGGGGAUAACACCUGGAAACAGAUGCUAAUACCGCAUAACAACUUGGACCGCAUGGUCCUAUUUGAAAGAUGGCUUCGGCUAUCACUUUUGGAUGGUCCCGCGGCGUAUUAGCUAGAUGGUGGGGUAACGGCUCACCAUGGCAAUGAUACGUAGCCGACCUGAUAGGGUAAUCGGCCACAUUGGGACUGAGACACGGACCAAACUCCUACGGGAGGCAGCAGUAGGGAAUCUUCCCGCACAAUGGACGAAAGUCUGAUGGGCAACGCCGCGUGAGUGAAGAAGGGUUUCGGAUCGUAAAACUCUGUUGUUAAAGAAGAAAUAUCUGAGAGUAACUGUUCAGGUAUUGACGGUAUUUAACCAGAAAGCCACUUCUAACUACGUGCCAGCAGCCGCGGUAAUACGUAGGUGGCAAGCGUUCCAUUUAUGGGCGUAAAGCGAGCGCAGGCGGUUUUAUAAGUCUGAUGUGAAGGCCUUCGGCUCAACCGAAGAAGUGCAGGGGUAACCUGGUAACCUGGAGG